rnacentral:rRNA from 1 species
AUACGGAGGGGGUUAGCGUUGUUCGGAAUUACUGGGCGUAAAGCGCACGUAGGCGGACUGGAAAGUUGGGGGUGAAAUCCCGGGGCUCAACCCCGGAACUGCCUCCAAAACUUCCAAUCUAGAGAUCGAGAGAGGUGAGUGGAAUUCCAAGUGUAGAGGUGAAAUUCGUAGAUAUUUGGAGGAACACCAGUGGCGAAGGCGGCUCACUGGCUCGAUACUGACGCUGAGGUGCGAAAGCGUGGGUAGCAAACAGGAUUAGAAACCCUAGUAGUCC